AACGCACCUUGCGCUCCUUGGUAUUCCGAGGAGCAUGCCUGUUUGAGUGUCAUGAAAUUCUCAACCUUUUCAGCUUUGUUCGUUGAUCAGGCUUGGAUGUGGGAGUAUGCGGGCUUCUCAGAAGUCGGCUCUCCUUAAAUUCAUUAGCAGGACCCUUUGUUGCCUGGCUUUGGUGUGAUAAUUAUCUACGCCAUUGUGGUCAAGCAGCUUAUAAUGGGGUUUCAGCUUCUAAUCGUCUCUUGAGACAACUUUCUGACAAUUUGACCUCAAAUCAGGUAGGACUACCCGCUGAACUUAA
rnacentral:misc_RNA from 1 species